rnacentral:lncRNA from 1 species
GUAAAAAGAUGGCUUAUCAGAAGGUCAAUGCAGAUUUAAGAACCCCAGGACACUCACAGUACUUAGACAAUGAUGACAUCCAAGCCAUAGCACUUGAUUUAGAGUAGGAUAUGGAGAAGGAACUGGAAGAGCCUGCCUUUGACCAGUUCCAACCAGAUAAUGCUGAGACUCAGAACUUGGGGCAGNNNNNNNNNNNNNNNNNNNNNNNNNNNNNNNNNNNNNNNNNNNNNNNNNNNNNNNNNAGCAACCAUUAGAACUUUUGCUACCUUUUAAAAUUAAUUUGCACAGCCACCAUUCUAUUUAUUUUUGGAAUUCUAAUAGGUUAUUAUGCACACACGAAUUGCCCUCCUGACGCCACACCAUCAAGAUCAAUUGACCCUCAUUUAUACCAGGAUAUUCUCAACACAAUCAAAGCAGAAGAUAUUAAGAAAUCCUUCAGAAAUUUGGUAAAACUCUAUAAAAGUGAAGAUGACAUGGAAAUUUCAAAGAAGAUUAAGACUCACUGGACAGCAUUGGGCUUGGAAGAUACACAGAUUCUGAACUACUCAGUGUUGCUGGAUUUCCCUGGGCCCUCUCCAAGCACCAUCACUGUGAGCAGCACUGGCCAGUGCUUUUAUCCUGAUGGCCAACCUUGCAGGGAAGAAGCCAGAAAAGGCCAUAGCCAAGAUCUGCUCUCAUCAUAUGCAGCCUAUUCUGCCAAAGGAACUCUCCAGGCUGAUGUCAUCGAUGUGAGUUAUGGAACUACAGAUGAUUUUAAAAGGAUUACAAAAUUAAAAAAUACAACAAAUCAAAUUGCACUGCUAAAAUUAGGAAAAUUACCACUGCUCUAUAAGCUUUCCUUAUUGGAAAAGGCUGGGUUUGGAGGUGCUCUUCUCUACAUUGACCCUUGUGAUGUACCAAAGUCUGAAGAUCUUAGCUCUGAGACAUUUAUGGUGACACUGAAUCCAGGAGGAGAUCCUUCUACACCUGGGUACCCCAGUCUUGAGGGAAGCUUUAGACAGAGCCGACCAAACCUCACCUCCCUGUUAGUGCAGCCCAUCUCUGCGUCCUUCGCUCAAAAACUCAUUGGUUUGCGGAAACUGAGAAUGGAUAAUGAUGCCUGUAGCCCUCUAGAACUCCCAUAUAAUGAGAAAAGAACUGUACGUUUGCAAGUGCAGACAGUAACAAAAUUUAAAACAGUGACCAAUGUUGUUGGGUAUCUAAAAGGCUUGACAUCACCGGACCGGUAUAUUAUAGUUGGCAGUAACCACCAUGCUGGAUACAGUUAUAAUGGACAAGAUUGGGCCAGCAGUACUGCAAUAAUCACAGCAUUUAUCCAAGCCUUGAUGUUAAGAGUGAAGAAAGGAUGGAGACCAGAACGUACUAUUGUUUUCUCUUCGUGGGGAGGAACGACCUGGGGCAAUAUUGGCUCCUAUGAAUGGGGAGAGGAUUUUGCAAAGAUUCUACAAAAGAACACUGUGGCUUACAUUAGUCUCCAUAGUCCUGUCCAUGGCAACACAAGUCUGCAUCCAGUAGCAUCUCCAUCUCUCCAGCAACUGGUUCUGGAGAAAAAUAAGUUCUACUGUUCCAGAAGAGCUCAGUGCCCAGGGGCCAAUGUCAGCGCUGUACAGAUACAAGGUGACACACAUUAUUUCAUCAACCAUCUUGGAGUUCCGACUGUACAGUUUGCUUAUGAGGAUCUGAAAGCAUUAGAGGGUCCAAGUUUUCUCUCUGAAGCCAUUUUUCCUAAACAUGCAACAAAAAUUGAAGAAGUGGAUCCAUCUUUCACCCUCCAUGAAGCCAUUACUAAGAUAUAUAAAAGACCCAGAGACAAGCUUCAAGCUGAAGACUAGAAAAGCAAAGCAGCUGGCCACUAACUCUUACAUCUACCUCAGCUCAGACAAAAGGGGUGAUCCUCAGACUGCUCCGACAUCUCUCCUCCUCAGAUUCACUCAGACUGCUAUGCUCUCCUCAACAUGGCUAGUGACCAAUCUCAGACUGAAUGCCUCUAACUAUAUCUCUCAAAUCCUGGCAUUAAAGGCAUGAGCUCUGAUUCACUCUCCCAUAACUCAGGGUGGUCUUGGACUCAAGAGAUCCAUCUGUCUUUUUCCUGAGUCCUGGGAUUUAAGGUGUGUACCACCAUUGCCUAACUCCAUGGCUGCUGGGAUUGAAAGUGUGUAUCAUCACUGCUUUCUGAAUACACAGACAAGCUUUAAUAAAUCAUAAAUAAUGUAUCACCAUACUUAAAUGUAUAUUAUCAUAGAGAAACAAUAUUUAUUUUGGCCCAAUUGCAUUUUAUUUAAUAAUAUAUCCUUUUCUUCUUAGAAAAUUAAGCUGUAGGGCUUCUCAAAUUGUAAAUAUAUUGGCCUUACAUCACUUAAUAAAGAUUUAUAUUAUAAAGUCUCUACCUUUGAAAAUAAAUUAUUGAUGAAUAAUCAUAGCUAUGUACCAAAGUCAUUCAGAAAAAUUGCAACCCUUGUAAUUAGUGGCUUAAUAAAAAGAAAUAAAGAAUAUGAUAAUCCAUUAUAAAGCCAUUUUGUUCAACUGUAAAAACUGUACAUAUCAGAGUGGUAUUCAAUACCUAUAUACAAUCUUGUUCAAUGAAAUAUAUAAAUGUAUGUAAGUGGUAAGUCUAUAAUAGAAAUUUUAUUAAUGUUUCAAAUACUGCUUUUG